GGGGAUGUGGCUCAGUGGUAGAGUGCUUGCCUUGCAUGCAUGAAGCCCUGAGUUCAAUCUUCAGCACCACUG
rfam:Ictidomys tridecemlineatus contig103472, whole genome shotgun sequence.